CAGCACUAAGUUUUCAGCCACUGCAGCAGCGUUCGAAGGAAGAUUAGUAACCCGGAUGUACACAAAACCACGUGACGGAUUUCUACACGUGUGGGAGAGAUCAUUUUAAAACAUGUUUGCUGAAGAAGAAUGGACGGAUUCUCCAUCACCUGAUGGAUCAACCCAGGCUGUUGCAGUGUCACCUGUUACUGGCAAGGAGAAGGUUGUGGGUAAGCGAAGUCUUUUGAGGACUUUGCAAACGUUGGGGUCGGUUCCAGAAUGGGAGACUGGGAAACCUAUUGGGGACAGUGAUGAGGAGACAGAGGACACCCCUUCAGUCAAAACAAAAAAGAAAAGUUGCGAAAAACGCAAAAGAACCUCUACCAUUGAUAAUGAAGGGAAACAGCAGAAUGAACUGGAGUCACCCGAAACACCUGUGAAGAAGAAGUCAGUGAAGAAGAUUAUAAAAGAAACCAGUUCUAAGACGUCACAAGAGUCCAAAAAGGAGGUAAGUGACAAAAAAGGAGCUCAAAUUGAAAAAGAAAAAAUUCAAACAGAGAAAAGGCUGAGCAGAAAACAGUGGAGGAACAGGAUGAAGAACAAAAGACAUUGUAAGAACAAAUAUCUACCAAAAACAACAGGUGCUAAUAAUGCCAAAGCCAAGGAGGAAGCCUUAGUUCAAACACAAGAUGACAUAGGAGUACAAAAAGUGCAAAAAAAUGACAAGCCAUCCAAAAAAAUGAAGAAGUCUUGUGAAAAGAAUGGCAUUUCUUCUGUCGUGGACAAUACUGAAAAUUGCAGAGACUCUAUGAGCUCCGAUCACAUAAAAUCUAUAGCACAUGAAACUUCCUGUGCAGAACCUAGGAUAGUAGAUGACUCUCUUAGCAACAAUAAAGUCUCUCAUGAAGUGGGUGAUAAAGGGAAACCAUGCAAAAUGUCAAAAAUAUCAAAAUUACGUGCAGACAAAUUGUGUCAUGUUAUAAAUUUGCAUCUUACUGAUGAAAGUAAUAAAGCCACAGAGGAGCGAGAACCAAAGGACAAAACGGUGAAGUCAAAGGGUGAUGAAGAGCAAACGCCUCUUGAUCGCUCAAGUGCUUUAAGGUCAAAGAUGGAGAAGCGAUUAGAAGCUGCUCGAUUCCGCCACAUCAAUGAGCUGCUUUACACUUCAACCAGUGGUGAAGCCAAACGCAUGUUUCAACAGGACCCUGAAGCCAUUGGAAUUUACCACAAGGGUUACACAGCACAGGUUCAACACUGGCCUGCAAACCCUGUGGAUUCAAUUAUUUCCUAUAUUCACCAAAGACCAGCUUCUUUAGUUGUUGCAGACUUUGGUUGUGGGGACUGUAAAAUUGCACGGAGUGUAAAAAAUAAAGUGCACUCUUUUGACCUUGCUCCGGUUUGUGAACUUGCCACUGCAUGUGAUAUGGCAAAGGUGCCUCUUUGUGAUUCCACGGUAGAUAUUGCUGUGUUCUGCCUUUCUCUUAUGGGGACAAAUCUUGUUGACUUUUUGGCAGAAGCAAACAGAGUACUGGUCAAGGGGGGCAUUCUUAAAAUUGCAGAAGUGGCCAGUAGAUUUGAAAGUGUGCGCUCGUUCCUUGGUGCAUUGUCAAGUUUGGGAUUUAAGUUGGUCAGUAAGACUGACAAACUUAACAGACUGGAGUCACUAUCACUUUCAUAAUACCAAUUAAACCUGAGAAGACUCAACUUUUGUGUUCCAUAAAAGAAAGAAAGUCACGCAUUAGGGAAACAACAUCUGACUGAACUGUACUACUAAUCAGCUCUUGUGGAAUGAUCCAGGACACGUUAGCAGCAGGGACACCAUUGGAGGCCAAACACUCAAUGUAAAUGUGGUCUGAACUAACAUUGUGAUUUAAACUAAUAUUAGGGGC